UUUCCCGCAAGGUGGCACUGCCUGCCGUUUAGUAACGGAAAGAGUAGGGAUAAUGUUUAGUAUGCAAGGGGGUUGUGUAUCGGAUUACGUUUUUUGUUCUUUCCAAAGAAGGGAUCAACGCAAAAACUUACGUGUUGGUCUAACAUAUGUAAAAAAAAAGAAAGAAUCAGUUCACGUACCUGAAGAGAAUUAUCAAAAUUAGAAAAUAAUUAUUGCUGAAGCAUAAAUCAUUGUAAACGCCUUAUGUCAUCAGUAUAACAUUCAGAAAAUUUACGGUAAUGAAAAAAAAAGUGUAUCUUCGAGAUGAUUGAAUGGGAAUAGAAUUGGGCGUCGGUCACGUGUGGAUAUGUUUCCGCAAAGUAAGAACGCGAACAAAAACUUAACAAAGUUAACGAGGGAUAACUCAUUGCGACAAGUUUCCACGACGUUAGUACUUAUGCGAUAAUGAUAGAAUUGAGGAAAGUUUAUCACAGGAGAGAAGGUGAAACGAAUUAUUACUGGCUGUCGAGUAUUGAUUGUGUCGGACAAAUAGUUCAUGGUACAAUUUCACCUUUACCGAUAAAUAGAAAAAAUGCGAAAGAAAUUAAAUCUUUAAAAUAAAAUAUAUUCUCAAUAAUCAUGAUUAUUUAACUUGAA